rnacentral:rRNA from 1 species
GUAGGUGGCAAGCGUUGUCCGGAAUUAUUGGGCGUAAAGCGCGCGCAGGCGGUCCUUUAAGUCUGAUGUGAAAGCCCACGGCUCAACCGUGGAGGGUCAUUGGAAACUGGGGGGCUUGAGUACAGAGGAGGAAAGCGGAAUUCCAAGUGUAGCGGUGAAAUGCGUAGAGAUUUGGAGGAACACCAGUGGCGAAGGCGGCUUUCUGGUCUGUAACUGACGCUGAGGCGCGAAAGCGUGGGGAGCAAACAGGGAUUAGAUACCCUGGUAGUCCACGCCGUAAACGAUGAGUGCUAAGUGUUAGGGGGUUUCCCGCCCCUUAGUGCUGCAGCUAACGCAUUAAGCACUCCGCCAGGGGAUACGGCCGCAAGGCUG